AUGGAUGCAAGGGCAAGAUAUGAAUUGCAGUUUGGGUCACAAUUGGUGUAUUAUGUGGCCUGCUCUUCGUUUCAUGUUUGAUAUGGAAUGGACGAAAAAAGGCCACUUUGAAAGCAUUGUUGAAAAUCCCCUUGUUUGUGCAACUGGAAAAGAACCAAACUGCUGUGGCAUGAGUCAAUGUCCAUGAACUUAAAUGGCACUGAAGUUUUCGGUUUUGGCCUUGUUCUUUGGUGGAAGCACAAGCACAAUCAAAAAACAUUCUUUGAUGUUAAAGGUACUUUCCAAUUAGUAUUAUAGUUAGCAUUUUCUUCUUCUUUAAUACUAUAAUAGUUCCUUUAAUUCAUGUACAGCUAAGAGUCUGUUACUUAU